GAUGAACGCUGGCGGCGUGCCUAAUACAUGCAAGUCGAGCGAAUGGAUUAAGAGCUUGCUCUUAUGAAGUUAGCGGCGGACGGGUGAGUAACACGUGGGUAACCUGCCCAUAAGACUGGGAUAACGCCGGGAAAGCGGGGCUAAUACCGGAUAACAUUUUGAACCGCAUGGUUCGAAAUUGAAAGGCGGCUUCGGCUGUCACUUAUGGAUGGCCCCGCGUCGCAUUAGCGAGUUGGUGAGGUAACGGCACACCAAGGCAACGAUGCGUAGCCGACCUGAGAGGGUGAUCGGCCACACUGGGACUGAGACACGGCCCAGACUCCUACGGGAGGCAGCAGUAGGGAAUCUUCCGCAAUGGACGAAAGUCUGACGGAGCAACGCCGCGUGAGUGAUGAAGGCUUUCGGGUCGUAAAACUCUGUUGUUAGGGAAGAACAAGUGCUAGUUGAAUAAGCUGACACCUUGACGGUACCUAACCAGAAAGCCACGGCUAACUACGUGCCAGCAGCCGCGGUAA
rnacentral:rRNA from 1 species